UUGCUUGGCUAGCUGUGUAGCUCUUCACUGGCCUCACAUCUUCACUGGUCUUCACUUUGUUGAGAGAAGCAUGACAGAGAACUCCUGGUCCUGGUCACUCCUGCUGACUCAUUCCAAUUCGGGGGAGGCCGGGCGGUUUCUGCUGGAUCCCGCCACAGUUGCUGAUUUGUGUUUGGUGACACUACUGACCUGGACUGCUGGUAUCCUGACAGACAGAAAUUGGAAUUGACCCAAAGAACUACUUCCAAACAGUGAUACAAACCUUGGCAUCCCAUUUACAGGACCUUCUCCAAUGACACGCGCAAACCUGAGCUCAUCCUGUGGGGAAGGAUGCAAUGCCUGGCAGAUAACUCAGAGAAGAGCCAGAUCACAUCGGUGGGUGACAGCAGCUGAACUUGCUGUACAUCGUGGAGGUGAGAGCUGAAGGUUUUGAAUGCCUGUGGGCAGAGAUUCGAUGAGGGAGCAUUUGAAGCCCUCUGUCCAGAGCUUUCUCUUUUGGAGCCUCAGAGCUCAGGACUCAGAGCUGUGUCCUGAACGUAUGGAUGACCCCCUGCUCCUGGUUCCUUACGCCGUACUCUCUCUAUCAUCGUUCCCCAAUGCCAGGCAGCUCAAGCCAGGAAGGGGCUCCUGUUCAAACCAUGAGCAGAUGUGAGGAUGCCAUCGAUGCAGCGAUAGAAACUGGAGCCGCCAGUCCCUGCCUCUGCCCAAGCCAUCUCUAACUGCAGGCGAAGGCUGGGCCUCUCCCACGCUGACCCGGCUACUCAGGUUGAGAAUUCUUUAUGGAAAUUUGCACUGGCACUCCCGAUCAAGAACAAAAGACUAUCGUGAGCUGGGAAAGAUCAGUGGAGGUGAAAUGUGGCAGAGAUGUGGCUGGACUUCAAGAAGAAAGGCUGGGACUGAGGACCAGCUGUAACUAUGUCUCUGGGCUCCCCACCCGGUUCUUUCAUGCUAAAGUCCCCAGUUAAGAAUUGUAUCCUCCCAAUAUAAUAGCUGUACCUACUUGUAAGGGACCCUAGAGGUCAGGCUUAUUAACCUUCCUUCGUGGAAGGAGAUGUGGAGACAGUCACUGGACCGUCACCUGGAAUUCUUGGCCACUCCCUCCUACACUUCCAAGACUGCCCAUGUAACCUGCUCUACUGUGUGUGACAUUGUGAUCUGGAGAGCUGCAGCACACACAGAUUGUGGAAGACCUAGGGAACUCCAGUGGAGUCGUUGUUAUCUGUGCUGGGGCAAGACAGCUGCUUUGGGGUCCCCUGCUCCUGUCAGUAACCCCUCAACCCUGCUCUGUAAAUAAGCCAAAUAAACUUAUCAGCUGUCCACGUUGGGCCCCCUGGGUAGACGGGUCCUUCUAGUUUAUCCUUGGUGCUCCAGAAAGGAGUAGAUGUUUGUCGGCAUCUCCCAGGAGAAGCAUGCUGUGAACCCUGUGCCGUGUGGAAAAUGUAUCCUCAAGGCCCUGUUGGCUUAGCCCGUUUUAGAAAAAUAAACUUGUAAAAUUC